rnacentral:rRNA from 11 species
CUCCUACGGGAGGCAGCAGUGGGGAAUAUUGCACAAUGGGGGAAACCCUGAUGCAGCCAUGCCGCGUGUGUGAAGAAGGCCUUUUGGUUGUAAAGCACUUUAAGCGAGGAGGAGGCUACCGAGAUUAAUACUCUUGGAUAGUGGACGUUACUCGCAGAAUAAGCACCGGCUAACUCUGUGCCAGCAGCCGCGGUAAUACAGAGGGUGCAAGCGUUAAUCGGAUUUACUGGGCGUAAAGCGUGCGUAGGCGGCUUUUUAAGUCGGAUGUGAAAUCCCCGAGCUUAACUUGGGAAUUGCAUUCGAUACUGGGAAGCUAGAGUAUGGGAGAGGAUGGUAGAAUUCCAGGUGUAGCGGUGAAAUGCGUAGAGAUCUGGAGGAAUACCGAUGGCGAAGGCAGCCAUCUGGCCUAAUACUGACGCUGAGGUACGAAAGCAUGGGGAGCAAACAGGAUUAGAUACCCUGGUAGUCCAUGCCGUAAACGGUGGGCGCUAGGUGUAGGGGUCUUCCACGACUUCUGUGCCGUAGCUAACGCAUUAAGCGCCCCGCCUGGGGAGUACGGC